CGCCAGGGGCUGCGGAGUAGUGGCUGGUGAAACCCGCCAGGUCCGAAAGGAAGCAACGGUAGCCAGUCCCCUAUUGCCGCGGCCUCCUGGCACUU
rnacentral:SRP_RNA from 1 species